rnacentral:rRNA from 1 species
UGGGGAAUUUUGGACAAUGGGCGAAAGCCUGAUCCAGCAAUGCCGCGUGUGUGAAGAAGGCCUUCGGGUUGUAAAGCACUUUUGUCCGGAAAGAAAUCCUUGGCUCUAAUACAGUCGGGGGAUGACGGUACCGGAAGAAUAAGCACCGGCUAACUACGUGCCAGCAGCCGCGGCAAUACGUAGGGUGCAAGCGUUAAUCGGAAUUACUGGGCGUAAAGCGUGCGCAGGCGGUUUGCUAAGACCGAUGUGAAAUCCCCGGGCUCAACCUGGGAACUGCAUUGGUGACUGGCAGGCUAGAGUAUGGCAGAGGGGGGUAGAAUUCCACGUGUAGCAGUGAAAUGCGUAGAGAUGUGGAGGAAUACCGAUGGCGAAGGCAGCCCCCUGGGCCAAAUACUGACGCUCAUGCACGAAAGCGUGGGGAGCAAAACAGGAUUAGAUACCCUGGUAGUCCACGCCCUAAAACGAUGUCAACUAGUUGUUGGGGAUUCAUUUCCUUAGUAACGUAGCUAACGCGUGAAGUUGACCGCCUGGGGAGUACGGUCGCAAGAUUAAAACUUAAAUGAAUUGACGGGG